rnacentral:rRNA from 1 species
CCUACGGGCGGCUGCAGUGGGGAAUAUUGGACAAUGGGGGGAACCCUGAUCCAGCCAUGCCGCGUGUGUGAAGAAGGCCCUCGGGUUGUAAAGCACUUUCAGUGAGGAAGAACGCCUGGUGGUUAAUACCCAUCAGGAAAGACAUCACUCACAGAAGAAGCACCGGCUAACUCCGUGCCAGCAGCCGCGGUAAUACGGAGGGUGCGAGCGUUAAUCGGAAUUACUGGGCGUAAAGCGCGCGUAGGUGGCUUGAUAAGCCGGUUGUGAAAGCCCCGGGCUCAACCUGGGAACGGCAUCCGGAACUGUCAAGCUAGAGUGCAGGAGAGGAAGGUAGAAUUCCCGGUGUAGCGGUGAAAUGCGUAGAGAUCGGGAGGAAUACCAGUGGCGAAGGCGGCCUUCUGGACUGACACUGACACUGAGGUACGAAAGCGUGGGGAGCAAACAGGAUUAGAUACCCUAGUAGUC